ACUCAAGUCAAACGUUAUCUUUGAAAUGGGGGACAUCGAAGCUCCCGGUACGACUGGACCGCGCCAAAGUGUCCUUCAAACGAUUCUCCCAAUCGCAAAAGUAUUCGCAUCUUCACGGAAAGGACAACUUCUUAUUGCAGAAGUGGCUCUGUCCCUCAUCGCGUUCAUCUGUUUUGUGGCAUCCACGGCAGCAGCCUUUGUCACAGCACCCCUCAUUGAGUUCCUGGCUGCCCUCUUCCUCCUUUUUGCCUAUUCCACCAAAUUCAAUGAGCGAUUUAAGGGAUUCCACUUCCCCCUCAUGCCUCAAUUCGUUGGGGCAUGGACUCUACAAGGUGUCGAAACCAUUCCACAGGGGUUGCUGGCCCAUGUUGACUCUGACGUUCCCACGGUUGUGACCAUGUUGGCUGGAUGUCCUUUGGGUGGUGGACCAUUCUUGACACAAGCAGGAAACUGUUGAGCGUGAAAAAAAAACAUUUCUACCACCUACCACAAUUCAAAGGCACUUCAAUCUUGUCUUACCCAUUCACCUUCUGAAUGACACAUAUACGCAAUCCAUGUCUCAAUUGUUUGGAUUCAAACUAGGGACUGUAGUGACCCCUCUUACACUGAGAUGCAGUGCCUUAGACCGCUGCGCCACUCGGGAGCCAGAGUGGACUGAUUGAAGGGAUUGAAGUGGAUUUAAUGAGUGACAUCAAUAAGGGCUCAUAGUUUUCACCUGGUCAGUCUAUCUGAUGGAAAGAGCAGGUGUUCAUAAUGUUUUGUACACUCAGUAUAUUUAUAGUCCACUUGGGUACAGUAGGGAUGAUAGCCAAUUUUAAAACAAAUGUGAAAACUACAUUUUAAUUUGUACUAUCUCUCUUUUAGGAUUUUCUGCGCUGUGUCAGUGCGUCCAUUAUCUUUUUUAUCAUCUCCAUAAUAUCAGUUUCCAAGUUCACAGACGGGGCCUCUAAAGCAGCAGGGGUGUUUGGGUUCAUUGCCACCAUUGUUUUUGCUCUAGAUUUUUACUUCAUCUUUAAUGACUUGGCUAAUUUCCUCAAACAAGGAGGGGACUCAGGUGACGAGCCACCAAGAACCUCAGAGUACAAUGACUCCGACUCUGACUCGGACUGAAGAGGUUCUAGCCCAGGGACCAUGUGUCCACCAUGCCUGGCAGGAAGACAUCCAUUCUGCAGACGUCAACGGCAUCCCGAAGGAUUCACAUUUCAUUUUAAACCGACGUGAAAACAGGUCUUUAGCGCUUUGGAAUGUUGGCACAUACAAAUGAUCAAUUACAGUUACAUUAUUAUUUUCCAAAUGCUCUAAAAUUGCCCAAACCCUGAAAUACAUUUCUGAAGCUGUGAAUGAACUGUGGUAUUUUUAGUGAUGGCUAUUGGUUUACAGUUGCUCAGCCUCCAUAAUACCAAGAGGAGCAUGGGGAACAGAUGACACUACAUUUUUACACAAUUGAAAAGAUUGGCAGCUGGUUGGCUGGUUACACCGUCUGUCCGAUCAUCAUACUUGCUUUGCUUGAUUUUUCUUUUUCUGGUGUCCUUUAUUGAAAAUGUUGCUGUAUCUGAUGUGAUAUCCUAGCGUUAAAAUCAUUUUGUGAUAGAUCUAUUCACUGAGCUGAGAAGACUGACUGUGCACGGCACUUAGCUACUUCCUAAAUGGCAACUUCCUGUUUGAAUUUGAUUUGUCAGCAGAAUAUUGUCUUCUCUUUUCUUCCAAUUCCGAAAGCUUUUAAUCACGGAGAAGCACUGGGAGACUUUUGUGAUUGUGUUUGAAAUGUAAACUGCAAAUGGGGUAUUACUGCAUUCAAUUAUUGAAAAUGGUACCUCAAAAUGUUCUCCUAUUCAGAAGGGUUUUCUUACCAGGUUGUACAUCAAACAUUUGUCAAUUUGCAGGUCAUGUAAAGAAAAUAAGAAAGAAAUCAGUUGAUUUUCAGCUAUUUGUAAGCUUUAAUUUGUUUAAUAAAAAAAUGAAGACAUGUUCAACAGUAUUUCCAAACCCAUUUAUUUUGAGACAAGUUUGUCACCACAAACUAUAGUUUUGUUAAAUCUACAGAAAAUUCUUUACAUACAACAAUACAGACUUUAAUACUGCUUCCUAGAGUACAAUAAAUACUUGUAUCAGUGACAGAGCAUUUAAGAAAAUCAAGGUCAAACCUUAAAAAAGAUAAAGAGCAGUUAAGUCUUCACUUUAUGAUAAGCCAUUUCAGAUGUUGAGUGGUUCAAAACCUUGACACAAGCAAUAACCUCUGCACGAAGCACUGUCGGUAAAGUUGUUUUAAGGACGUUACUGUAAGAUAAAUACACCCAUCUCAAAAUAUUAGGUUAUAUUUACAGAGUGCUCUGGAUUGUUAAGGACAUCACGAAGCAUUAACUUGUAUUGUUCCACUAUAGUCACGUCAUUUCACUACUAGUUAAAGCAAGGAUUACAUAUGCACUCACAUGGCCUAUUACUGUAUGUUAGAGCAUAAUGUAUUGCUAGAUAAAGGAGAUGGAUCCACUACUGUGAAGUCAAGGCAUAAUAUACGACUUAAAACAAUCAACCGAGUCCUGAAUAGAGAGACAUAAAUACACACAUUUGAUUGUCUAUUCUUCACACAGUUUCAAUCAUAAUCAACAGUGAUUACGGUCAAUUCAUUCAAAUUAAAUCUGCAAUUUGAGAUGUGCAAUGUCCCUGCCCUCACCUACAAAGUCAUUAAUGGAGUUAGGCCUUAAGUUUGUUCCCACUGUCCUCACAAAGAAUAUUGGUUCAUCAACUCUGAACACAAAAUAUGAUCACUUUGACAAAGAUGGCAUCUUUUAAAACAUUUGUAAGAUGUCCCACAACUAGGAGUGGGUGCACUUCAGUACACAUAAAGCAUCCACCAUGAGCAGUUCCUCUGAGGGUAUCUUUACCAUAAUCCACAUAUACAUACAGUAUCACCAGCAGGGUCAGUGGGAUACAGAACACCCGGAAUCACAAUGUUGUGUAGAUGUAAACACACAAUACUAUUUAGAACAAAAAAUACAAAGACCAGAACGAACACGUCAACAUUUCUAAAAGUCCUUCAUCCGAGACACAUUCAGUACAAACUUGCACAUAUGAACAGGCUACAUCUCCAUAAAUGUGAAUUCAAUGUUCCUUGCUCUAUUUGUCUGUACCAAACAAAAAAAAAUCCAGGAAGUUAAAUUGACUGCGAGGGUGUUUUAUGAAAUAAGAUAUGUGAUUAUGUAUGCUAUAUAAGAUAAAUAAGAUCACACAUUCAACUGAGAUACAUUGGUGCGCCAUUCUGUGAAUGAGUAUGCCGUGGACCCAAUUAUUAAGGCGGCCACAUUUAAGUUUCAAACAGACAAUAGAUCAUAAAUGAUGAGUCAGCCAAUACCUGAGAUGUGCUAUGGACGCUGACCUCGACCAGCACCCGUUUAUCAGUAUUUCGCUCAAUUAUCAAACGUACCACCAUGUUAGUAAUGUACCACUGUGCAAUUUGUCUGUCACUCACUAGGCCAGAUAUACUAUAGGUACAACGCUUAUACACAUCACAUUCAUACUCUUUAACCGUUUACAAAUAGCACCCACACCAACUACAUUGCCUUCAAAAAGUAUUCACACCUCUUUACCUUUUCCACAUUUAGUUGUGUUACAGCCUGAAUUUCAAUAAAUUAGCACCAAAAAAAAUGUAAAAACAUGUUUUCACUUUGUCAUUACGGGUUAUUGUGUGUAGAUGGGUGAGACAAAAUCUAUUUCAUCCAUUUUGAAUUCAGACUGUAACACAACAAAAUGUGGAAUAAGUCAAAGGGUGUGAAUAUUUUCUGAAGAAACUGUCAAUCAAAAGUCCUUCAAUAAAACAAAAUAGUAAAAAACAAAUACCUUCAAUCUUCCUUCAAACGUCCAUGUGGUUCGGUUGUUGUGUAUUAGUGAGAUACACUGAGGAGGGUUACUUUACAUAUUCUACAGAGAGAGAGACAACUGAACUGUAAUGGCAUUGUGGAACUGAACUGUGUUGGGAAUGUGUUUCAGGAGUAUCGGAGUUCAUAAAAACUUAAUAAGCGGUUGAUCCGCCGUAACGAAUAGGCCUAAGCUUUUGGUCCUUU